UCUCUUUAUUGAAUAUUACAAACAUUGCCACAGGUGUGCUUGUGGCUGAUUGGUUGAUACAAACACAAAGCAUCUUGUUGCUGAUUGGUUAACAUAGGUACAAGGCGGGAAUAACAUAUGACAUCAAUCAGUGAUAGUUCAAAAGACUGGGAACGGAGCUGGAACUAGACAGGCAUGAAACCUCCUAAUUAAAUUAUAACUAAAGAUUGAUAUUGAGAGAACAUAACAUGAAGGAAUACAACAAUCACGUUCCGUAAAUGUGGUCAGCAAAGCAUUAAGAACAGGUCAGGAUACACUGUUUCAUGAACUCAAUGGGAACUGUUCAGAACAUUCUCAGACUUAUGUGCAGAGGCAAAAACUUCCCAGAAUGUAAGAGAGAAAAGAAGGAAAAGUUCUAAAAGCAAGACUUUCCCACAAUGCGACAGUUAUGUGCAGUAAGAGAACUGCAGAAAGAAAAACUUAGACUUAUGUGCAGUAAGAGAAACUGCAGAAAGAAAACUUCCCUUCAGAG
rnacentral:lncRNA from 1 species